GAGUUUGAUCCUGGCUCAGAACUAACGCUUGUGGUGUGUCUUAGUCAUGCAAGUCGAACGAGAAAGUCACUUUCGGGUGACAAGUAUAGUGGCGAACGGGUGAGCAACACGUGGGUAACUUGCCCCUGGGUUGGGGAUAACACUUCUAACGAAGUGCUAAUACCGAAUGACAAGGCGAGUUGAUGACUCGUUUUUAAAGGUGGCCUCUACUUGUAAGCUGCCGCCUAGGGAUGGGCCCGCGUCGUAUUAGCUUGUUGGUGGGGUAAUGGCCUACCAAGGCGACGAUGCGUAGCCGGCCUGAGAGGGUGAACGGCCACACUGGCACUGAGAUAAGGGCCAGUCUCCUACGGGAGCCAGCAGUCUAGAAAUUUGCACAAUCGCCGAAAGGCGGAUGCAGCGACACCACGUGGAGGAUGAAGCCCCUCGGGGUGUAAACUCCUGUCAGAAGGGAAGAAGGCGCGGGCGUUAAUACCGCUCGUUGCUUGACGGUACCUUCAGAGGAAGCUCCGGCUAACUACGUGCCAGCAGCCGCGGUAAUACGUAGGGAGCGAGCGGUGUUCGGAUUUACUGGGCGUAAAGAGCACGUAGGCGGGUGUGCAAGUCUGUUGUGAAAUCCUCUGGCUCAACCAGAGAACUGCAGCCGAAACUGCACACCUUGAGUCCAGCAGAGGGAAUCGGAAUCCCAGGUGUAGCGGUGAAAUGCGUAGAUAUCUGGGAGAACAUCAGUGGCGAAGGCGGAUUCCUGGGCUGGUACUGACGCUGAGGUGCGAAAGCUAAGGGAGCGAACAGGAUUAGAUACCCUGGUAGUC
rnacentral:rRNA from 1 species